ACGCUCGACACCUACGGGAGGCAGCAGUGGGGAAUAUUGGGCAAUGGGCGCAAGCCUGACCCAGCAACGCCGCGUGAAGGAAGAAGGCCCUCGGGUUGUAAACUUCUUUUAACAGGGACGAAGUAAGUGACGGUACCUGUUGAAUAAGCCACGGCUAACUACGUGCCAACAGCCGCGGUAAUCUGAGCGGGCUGGCAAGGC
rnacentral:rRNA from 1 species